rnacentral:tRNA from 1 species
UAGCCUAGUGAUUAAGGCUAUGGAUCGCCAAUCCGGAGGCGGCGGGUUCGAUUCCCGU